UUUUUUUUUUUUUUUGGUUCUUUCUUGUUGGUUUUAUAUGGUAGGAGAUGGAGAGAGACAUUUAACACUUUCAUGAUAUGAAUUUCUUUCACAUUUGUGGAUUUUCAUUUUUCUUAAUAUAUAUAUGUGUCUUUAUUAUGGUUUCGGGGAGAUGAGAUGAGAUUGAACCCAGUUGGUUGCAUCUGUAUUCUUUUAAGAUUUAAUCACUUUUGAUGCAGUUCAGAUCAUUUAUCUCCCCGAAACCAUAAUA
rnacentral:misc_RNA from 1 species